GACGAACGCUGGCGGCGUGCCUAAUACAUGCAAGUCGAGGGAAGAGGCGGAUUGGUGAGUAACGCGUGGGUAACCUGACCUUAAAUCUGGGACACCAUUUGGAAACAGAUGCUAAUACCGGAUACUAAAGGAUAGACUUGGGAUGAAUUAGCUAGUUGGUAAGGUAACGGCUUACCAAGGCGAUGAUGCAGAGCCUAGUUGAGAGACUGAUCGGCCACAUUGGGACUGAGACACGGCCCAAACGCCGACGGGAGGCAGCAGUAGGGAAUCUUCCACAAUGGACGAAAGUCUGAUGGAGCAACGCCGCGUGAGUGAAGAAGGUUUUCGGAUCGUAAAGCUCUGUUGUUGGUGAAGCGGUAAUCAACCAGAAAGGCACGGCUAACUACGUGCCAGCAGCCGCGGUAAUAC
rnacentral:rRNA from 1 species